UACGUAGGGGGCUAGCGUUGUCCGGAAUCAUUGGGCGUAAAGAGCGUGUAGGCGGCUCGGUAAGUCCGCUGUGAAAGUCCAGGGCUCAACCCUGGAAUGCCAGUGGAAACUGUCGGGCUAGAGUCCGGAAGAGGCGAGUGGAAUUCCUGGUGUAGCGGUGAAAUGCGCAGAUAUCAGGAGGAACACCAAUGGCGAAGGCAGCUCGCUGGGACGGUACUGACGCUGAGACGCGAAAGCGUGGGGAGCAAACAGG
rnacentral:rRNA from 1 species